rnacentral:rRNA from 1 species
CUACGUGCCAGCAGCCGCGGUAAUACGUAGGUCCCGAGCGUUGUCCGGAUUUAUUGGGCGUAAAGGGAGCGCAGGCGGUUAGAAAAGUCUGAAGUUAAAGGCUGUGGCUUAACCAUAGUAGGCUUUGGAAACUGUUUAACUUGAGUGCAAGAGGGGAGAGUGGAAUUCCAUGUGUAGCGGUGAAAUGCGUAGAUAUAUGGAGGAACACCGGUGGCGAAAGCGGCUCUCUGGCUUGUAACUGACGCUGAGGCUCGAAAGCGUGGGGAUCAAACAGGAUUAGAUACCCUGGUAGUCCACGCCGUAAACGCUGAGUGCUAGGUGUUAGACCCUUUCCGGGGUUUAGUGCCGCAGCUAACGCAUUAAGCACUCCGCCUGGGGAGUACGACCGCAAGGUUGAAACUCAAAGGAAUUGACGGGGGCCCGCACAAGCGGUGGAGCAUGUGGUUUAAUUCGAAGCAACGCGAAGAACCUUACCAGGUCUUGACAUCCCUCUGACCGCUCUAGAGAUAGAGUUUUC